rnacentral:rRNA from 1 species
UACGUAGGUGGCGAGCGUUGUCCGGAUUUACUGGGCGUAAAGAGCGCGCAGGCGGUCGUACAAGUCGCGUGUGAAAGCCCCCGGCUCAACUGGGGAGGGUCACGCGAUACUGUUCGACUCGAAGGCAGGAGAGGGAAGUGGAAUUCCCGGUGUAGUGGUGAAAUGCGUAGAUAUCGGGAGGAACACCAGUGGCGAAGGCGGCAUCCUGGACUGGUCCUGACACUCAUGAGCGAAAGCGUGGGGAGCGAUCCGG